CUUGAUGGAGCCGAGCCACAGCGGGCGGUCCCCGUCGCGGUCCUGGCCGUAGGUGGCGAGGAGGGCCUGGGCCUC
rnacentral:antisense_RNA from 1 species